rnacentral:rRNA from 1 species
AUAAUAAUUUGCCUCUUAAUUGGAGGCUAGAAUGAAGGGUUUUAUGGAAAAUGACUUUUUUAGAAGAAUAUGGUGAAAUUAAGUUUUGUGUAAAAAUUCACAAAUGACUUCAAGGGACGAGAAGACCCUGUGGAUUUUUACUUAUUCGAAAUUUUAAUUUUAUAAUGGUUUAUUUUUUUUAUAGGUUUGGUUGGGACAACAAUGAAUAUUUUUUAUUAGAGUUGAUUGACGAUUUGAUCCUUUUUAAGGAAACAAGAAUGAAUUACCCCAGGGAUAACAGCGUAAUAUUUUUGGACAGGACAUAUGGAUAAAAGUGUUUGCGACCUCGAUGUUGAAUUAAAAUGUUUGUAUUAAGUACAAGUAAUAAGAAAAAGUCUGUUCGACUUUUAAAAUUUUACGUGAUCUGAGUUCAGACCGG